CCAAGCCCCUCCCUCAUCCAGUACGACCUCAGUUCUUAUAAAGAGAGGAGACUUAGACAGAUGCUCACAGAAGGAAAACCAUGUGAAGACACAGGACAUGGUCAUCCCCAGGCCAAGGAGCAAGACCUCAGAAGAAGUCAGUCCCACCUACUCCUGGAUCUCAGAUGCCCAAUCUCCACAACUGUAGAAAGCAAAUUUCAAGCUACCAGUCUGUGAUACAGUACUCUUACUGCAGCCCUAGGAGAUGAGUACUGAACCGCUGUCCCUGCCACCGGAAUUUCACCAUCACAGAGGCAUUCACAGAAGCAGAAUGAGGUGUGACAGCGGGAAUGGGCCCAGGAUACAUGUGUGGAAGAGGGGUGUAAGGCAGCGAAGCAUCACUUCAGCAGAGGCGGGGUGGCAACUGUGGUCCAUGCAGCGGGGUUCCCAGUGAGGGAGGAUCCCCUGGGAGGGGGCCCCAGCUCUCACUAGGGCCCCGACCACUGGGUCUCCAGUGACUGAAUUCUGAAUUCAAAUUCUGAAUUCCUUCAGAGAGUAUUGUAGAACUCAUGGUGGGACAAGAGAUCCAAAAGCUCAAUGCUCACCUCCACCCCCAAGGAGGCAAGAGCAGUAGGCUGCAGCCUCAGGAGGAAACCAGAAGGAACAGCACAAACCCCAUAGGCCUUCAGACUGGUAGCAGGCAUUUAAAUUAGAAAAGAAUUUCAGAGCAACAGGAGACCAGCAUAUUUAUUGAUUAAGAACCAACUUUCAUGGGGCUGGUCCUCAUGUCUCUGUGAGGGUCUGUCAGGACCCCCAGCUUCCAUAGAGAUGAAAAACACCAGAGUGGAAGAAGCCACCUGGUCUGGAAGAUUCAGAUGAAGAUUCAGACCCUUUUCACUGAGGCUGUGGCCAUGGACUCGGGGAGGCUGGGGAAGUGCCUGGCCACCUGUAGUAAGGCCACUGGGGGCGGCACAGAGUGGGACACGACCUCAGCCACAGCCCGAAGUCACAGCACUACCAGGAGCAGAAACCCAGGCACCAACCGAGGAGCAUGGAGACAUAAACGGGGCAUCAGCCUUUGAGAGGCCUCCACAGGGAGCCUGGGCCCUAUUUCAGGGUCUUAUGGGAGGAGACUCAGCGGGGAUCAGGAAGAAGGGGGCUGGGCUCAGGGCCAGGACUUGGUGGGGCUCAGGGGCUUUAAGCAACUCCAAAAGAUUGUCACUAGCUAUUGAAUAAAAUUGGUCACCCUCAGUUCCAAAGCACAAGGACUAAUGCGCCAUGACAUCUUUAAUUUAUUCGGUACCUUUCUGCCAAGUGGAUCAAAGCAUUUCAAAAUAAUUUCCUCUAAACUUUUCUGGGAAGAACCCAGGGAGGAAAAAACCAUUUCAUCUAUGAACUACCCUUGAUAUCAAUCAUAAUCCCUGAAAUUGUAUAACUCUUUCUGGUUUCCAGAAGGCUCCGACAUGGGAAGCAGGUGGUGGGAGUGGCCCCUUUUGCAGAUGGGGGAAGCAGAGCCAGGGGCUUUCAUGCCUUCCCAGGCGAAACUUUGCCCAUCCCAGCCCUCCAUGGCCAGUGUUGUACCGCACAGACCGCAGACAGUCCAGGUCCCUGAAGUCAGGGCCAGGCUGGCCUCGGAAUCGAAUAGCUCAUGACAGUGUCACAAAGGCCCCACCCUCUGAGCCCCAAGGUCCUGAUCCAAUGGUUCUCCCAGCCCCAGGGCUCCAGCAAGCCUCAGACUGGGAGGUGCUCUGUGCACAUCCCGGUUUGCUGCUUUCUCCCUCCUGAGGUGCCUCGAGUUCCUGCUUUGCUCCCAGCACCUCCCCUCCUUCUCCCAAAGGACUCAGCUUCUUCAGUGCCCUCCACAUCCCCUGCCUUCUGUCUUCAGCUUCUUGCUCUUGCAAAGGCUUUUGUCCUUCUCGAGGAAGCUGGCUCUGCCCUCCCACCUGCCUUCUCUGACCAGCUCUCGCUGGAUUUAUCUGUGCAACGCU